CGCGUCUUUCCUUCCCCGUUCUCCUUCGAUUUAUUUUAUCUUAAUUUCUCAUUGUGUUAUUGAUUAACAUGAUCGAACAAAUAAGGGACAUACAUAUAACAUCUUGAAUCAAUCCUUUUCUAUUGGUAACAAUGGAUACUGGUAAUUAAUCAUCCAAAAGAAAAAAGAAUUCUUCCCAUAAGAAGAAAUCCAGGAUUGUUUCAAUUUGCAGGGAUGGUUUUCACUUUUCCACGAUUUUCACUGAAAAAGGGUGUUGAAUGAUUUAGUUGGUGCAAAAACCAAAAGUCUUUUGGUCUCAACAGAACAAAACAAUAGAUGCUGAAACGAUAUUCACACUAUUUUUCCGGUAACAGUGGAUACUGGUAAUUAAUCAUCCAAAAGAAAAAAGAAUUAUUCCCAUAAAAAGAAAUCCAGGAUUGUUUAAAUUUACAGGGAUGGUUUUCACUUUUCCACGAUUUUCACUGAAAAAGGAUAUUUCUACAUAUGUUCACUUCAUCCUAGGAAUGAUAGCUCGACUUGAGUUGGCUGCAUGAGAGAAAGAAAUGUAGUAAUCUCGACUAUCUUGGGAUACUUCAUGUCAGUCAGGGUCAAAGGUAGCUAUAUUAUGACAUUUCUCAUGAUAGGGCGAGGCGAAGCCAAGCUUUACCAAAUAAAAUGGGGACUAGGGCGAGGCGAAGCCGAGCUUUACCAAAUCAAAUGGGAAAUUGGACGAGGCGAAGCCGAGCUUUACCAAAUCAAAUGGGGACUUGGGCGAGGCGAAGCCGAGCUUUACCAAAUCAA